rnacentral:lncRNA from 1 species
AUGGUCACCCUGGGAGAGCCGCAGCAGUGGGAGGAGCUCACCGAGUCCGUGACACAGAGUGACAGUGGAGAAGCCCAGGGCAGGAGGUGGCAGGAGUCAGCGAGGCCUAGAGCUCUCCACGCACAGGCCCAGAGAUUGAGGGCGGCCCCGGACACGAGCCGUGGACUCGCUGCAAGGACCCAGGCCGUCCAGGAGGCCGCACCCCGAUGGGGGCCAGGAUGGAACUCACCGUCCUCGUCUUCAGAACUGAUUUCUGCUGCGUGGAUGGCCCCGCCAGCUGCUGACUCCCUCUGCUCAUCCACGAGGCCUCACCCCAACACCGCUCACCCGGUCCCUCCGUUUACCCAGCUAACGCGGGAGGCGAGAAAUCCAACGAGUCAUUUCCUCUCUGAGUCAGUCAUCUCAUGCAAGAUGCAGGGAGCAGCUGAAAACCUUUCUCAAAGUGGGGAAUUGAUGAGAGCCUUCCAUUCUGAGCCGAGCAGGGCUGCUUCGCCCAUGGGCGUCCGCGGGGUGGCCCCCCUUUGCGAAAGUCAGGAGUCUGGCACUGGGUCUGCUGAGUGGAUGGGGAAAUUCUGACCCCAGAGGUUCCGUGUCUGCAGUCAGGGCCUCAGGAAGGGACCUCUGCAGUCUCCCCCCGGGGGGAACUGGCCAGGGUGGGUGACGGCUGCUGGGGUCGGCAGUAACUUACAACCUAGAAUGUUCUCUGAGCAGGCCUGGAUGGCACGCUCCAGGGAGGCCUCAGGCCUGGCCACGGGACAGGUCUGCAGCUCAGAGGGCAGCCUGGCAGCUCUGAAAGAGGGGGAGUCGGCAUAAAAUGUGACCCCAGAGUGCAUUGCACCCUUGACUGAGCUUUGCAGAGAGAAUGCUAUUACACCUUGUGAGGAAUGCAGGAAGGAAGUAUCUGUGGCUCUGCCAGGCUGCGGGUCAUGUGCGGUUCAGUUCAGCCAACACACAGUUUAACGGGAAUAAACCGGUGCCUUGGCAUUGGGUCCUCGGCUUA